rnacentral:rRNA from 1 species
UACGAAGGUCCCAAGCGUUAUCCGGAUUUAUUGGGUUUAAAGGGUGCGUAGGCGGGCUAUUAAGUCAGUGGUGAAAUCCUGCAGCCUAACUGUAGAAUUGCCAUUGAUACUGAUGGUCUUGAGUGCAUUUGAAGUGGGCGGAAUGUGUCAUGUAGCGGUGAAAUGCUUAGAUAUGACACAGAACACCGAUUGCGUAGGCAGCUCACUAAACUGUAACUGACGCUGAGGCACGAAAGCGUGGGGAG